UACGAAGGGGGCUAGAGUUGUUCGGAAUGACUGGGCGUAAAGCGCACGUAGGCGGAUUGGUCAGUUGGGGGUGAAAUCCCGGGGCUCAACCUCGGAACUGCCUCCAAUACUGCCAAUCUUGAGUUCGGGAGAGGUGAGUGGAAUUCCUAGUGUAGAGGUGAAAUUCGUAGAUAUUAGGAAGAACGCCAGUGGCGAAGGAGGCUCACGGGCCCGAUACUGACGGUUAGGUGUGAAAGCGUGGGGAGCAAACAGG
rnacentral:rRNA from 1 species